AUGGAGUUUAAAUUAGAGGAGUUCACCAUGAGUCCAACUAAGAGGAAGUUGGAAAGGUGUAAAAAGGAUGAUUUGGUGCUCAUUGCAAACUUUUUUGAUGUGCCUGUGCCGUUGAAUGUGAAGAAGAAAGAGCUGAAAGAGCUCCUGUGUGUUAAACUGCAUGAAAGGGGGUUGUUUGGUGAGCCAGCUCCUGCAGAGGGAGUUGAGGUGGGAGCUGUUGCUGGCAUUCCUGCCCCACUGAAAGAUCUCCCUCCUCAAACUGGCCCUUCUGCGGAAGAGCUGCAGUUAACACUGCGCAUAAGGGAGGUUGAGUUACAGAAGCAGCAGUUGGAGGUGGAUGCCAUGCACUUAAAGGUUAGGGCUCUGGAGAUAGAGAGGGGAGCCGCUGUAUCUGCCAGUCCUCCUACACCUCGGUCAGCCCCGCAGUCACCAUCCCUGCAGUCAGAGGACAGCUUUGAUGUAAGUAGGCACAUCAAAUUAGUCCCAGCUUUUAGAGAGACUGAGGUAGAUUCGUAUUUCACCGUGUUUGAGCGCAUUGCAGGUGCACUACACUGGCCAAAGACUGUAUGGUCUCUUUUACUCCAGUGCCAAUUGGUGGGGAAAGCUCAGGAGGUGUGCACAGCUCUUUCAUUGGAGGACAGUUUGGAUUAUGAAAUGGUGAAGGCUGCUGUCCUACAUGCAUACGAGCUUGUCUCAGAAGCUUACAGGCAAAAAUUUAGAGGUCUUAGAAAAACUGCCACCCAGACUUAUGUAGAGUUUGCCAGGGAAAAGAAAAUUACAGGUGUCUUACCUGCCUCCCUAACCAAAAACAGGAGAAAAGGUUCCCAAAGAAAAAUGGCUUCUCACCCCUACAGCUACCGAGUAAAAUUAAAUAUUGACAACUAUUUACAUCUAUAUACAACAAACUAUUUACAACACGGAAAAAGCUUCCAGAAUACAAAUUCACACGCAGCCACAUGCACAGUUCGUUGGGAACAGGAAGUAGGCGCGGGCUGUGCCAGUUGA
rnacentral:lncRNA from 1 species